GCGUCUUUUUACAGGCACUAACUCCGCCAUUCGUUGGGCAAAGCCUAUGGGGGAAAUUAAUGGCGUUUUUGUAGGGUAUUUGGAUAAACGCCGAAAAUAAGUUGAAACCAAGAUUCUUCCGUGAAGAGCACACUUCUCCAGUGUGCCAGCGGCUAUCGACGGUGAGCAUUUGGCCACUGAAGUCGGUUACGAUGCCAAACUACAGUCAGGUCAAGACCCUGUUUCAUCAGCUCUCCGGUGGCUGGGCUCCGACGAUCCCGCAGGUGAUGAAGACGGAUGUGGAGGUCCUGGGCUGGGGUGGUUACACGUGGUCUGCGGUAGUGAGGCCACCCGGCUUUACAUUAACGUUCAAUUCUCUGGCAACAGCUCUGGUGGACAUUCCUGCAGUCAGCAUGCCAAUUGCACGCUCCCUCAAAACUUGAGACAUCUGUGGCAUUGUAUUGUGUGACAAAACUGCACAUUUUAGAGAGUGGCCUUUCAUUGUCAACAGCACAAGCUGCACCUGUGUAAUGAUCAUGCUGUUUAAUCAGCUUCUUGAUAUACCACACCGGUCAGGUGGAUAGAUUUUUCUUGGCAAAGGAGA
ensembl:lncRNA